rnacentral:rRNA from 1 species
GACGAACGCUGGCGGCGUGCUUAACACAUGCAAGUCGAACGGUAAGGCUCCAGCUUGCUGGGGUACACGAGUGGCGAACGGGUGAGUAACACGUGGGUGACCUGCCCUGCACUUCGGGAUAAGCCUGGGAAACUGGGUCUAAUACCGGAUAGGACCGCACCGUGAGGGUGUGGUGGAAAGUUUUUUCGGUGUGGGAUGGGCCCGCGGCCUAUCAGCUUGUUGGUGGGGUAAUGGCCUACCAAGGCGGCGACGGGUAGCCGGCCUGAGAGGGUGGACGGCCACAUUGGGACUGAGACACGGCCCAGACUCCUACGGGAGGCAGCAGUGGGGAAUAUUGCACAAUGGGCGGAAGCCUGAUGCAGCGACGCCGCGUGGGGGAUGACGGCCUUCGGGUUGUAAACUCCUUUCACCAUCGACGAAGGGUUUCUGACGGUAGAUGGAGAAGAAGCACCGGCUAACUACGUGCCAGCAGCCGCGGUAAUACGUAGGGUGCGAGCGUUGUCCGGAAUUACUGGGCGUAAAGAGCUCGUAGGUGGUUUGUCGCGUCGUCUGUGAAAUUCCGGGGCUUAACUCCGGGCGUGCAGGCGAUACGGGCAUAACUUGAGUACUGUAGGGGAGACUGGAAUUCCUGGUGUAGCGGUGAAAUGCGCAGAUAUCAGGAGGAACACCGGUGGCGAAGGCGGGUCUCUGGGCAGUAACUGACGCUGAGGAGCGAAAGCAUGGGGAGCGAACAGGAUUAGAUACCCUGGUAGUCCAUGCCGUAAACGGUGGGCGCUAGGUGUGGGUUUCCUUCCACGGGAUCCGUGCCGUAGCUAACGCAUUAAGCGCCCCGCCUGGGGAGUACGGCCGCAAGGCUAAAACUCAAAGGAAUUGACGGGGGCCCGCACAAGCGGCGGAGCAUGUGGAUUAAUUCGAUGCAACGCGAAGAACCUUACCUGGGCUUGACAUAUACAGGAUCGCGCCAGAGAUGGUGUUUCCCUUGUGGCUUGUAUACAGGUGGUGCAUGGUUGUCGUCAGCUCGUGUCGUGAGAUGUUGGGUUAAGUCCCGCAACGAGCGCAACCCUUGUCUUAUGUUGCCAGCACGUUGUGGUGGGGACUCGUAAGAAACUGCCGGGGUUAACUCGGAGGAAGGUGGGGGUGACGUCAAAUCAUCAUGCCCCUUAUGUCCAGGGCUUCACACAUGCUACAAUGGUCGGUACAGUGGGUUGCCAGUCCGUGAGGGCGAGCUAAUCCCGCAAAGCCGGUCUCAGUUCGGAUCGGGGUCUGCAACUCGACCCCGUGAAGUCGGAGUCGCUAGUAAUCGCAGAUCAGCAACGCUGCGGUGAAUACAAUCCCGGGCCU